AUUGUUCACCCACCAAUA
rnacentral:snRNA from 1 species